GCUCUUCUAGUAUACUCAUUACAAUUGACUUCCAAUCUCUUAAAUCUGGUGACACCCCAGAGAAGAGCA
rnacentral:tRNA from 1 species